rnacentral:rRNA from 1 species
GACGAACGCUGGCGGCGUGCUUAACACAUGCAAGUCGAACGGAAAGGCCCUGCUUUUGUGGGGUGCUCGAGUGGCGAACGGGUGAGUAACACGUGAGUAACCUGCCCUUGACUUUGGGAUAACUUCAGGAAACUGGGGCUAAUACCGGAUAGGAGCUCCUGCUGCAUGGUGGGGGUUGGAAAGUUUCGGCGGUUGGGGAUGGACUCGCGGCUUAUCAGCUUGUUGGUGGGGUAGUGGCUUACCAAGGCUUUGACGGGUAGCCGGCCUGAGAGGGUGACCGGGCAAAAUGGGAAUGAGGAACGGGCCAGACUUCUAAGGGAAGGAGGAGGUGGGAAUAUUGCACAAUGGGCGGAAGCCUGAUGCAGCAACGCCGCGUGCGGGAUGACGGCCUUCGGGUUGUAAACCGCUUUCGCCUGUGACGAAGCGUGAGUGAUGGUAAUGGGUAAAGAAGCACCGGCUAACUACGUG